UACGGGGGGGGCAAGCGUUGUUCGGAUUCAUUGGGCGGAAAGGGUGCGUAGGUGGCGCCGUAAGUCGGGUGUGAAAUUUCGGAGCUUAACUCCGAAACUGCGUUCGAUACUGCGGUGCUUGAGGACUGGAGAGGAGACUGGAAUUCAUGGUGUAGCAGUGAAAUGCGUAGAGAUCAUGAGGAAGACCAGUGGCGAAGGCGGGUCUCUGGACAGUUCCUGACACUGAGGCACGAAGGCCAGGGGAGCAAACGGG
rnacentral:rRNA from 1 species